UACAGAGGGUGCAAGCGUUAAUCGGAAUUACUGGGCGUAAAGCGUGCGUAGACGGUUGCGUAAGUCAGAUGUGAAAGCCCCGGGCUCAACCUGGGAAUUGCAUUUGAGACUGCGUAGCUAGGGUGCGGAAGAGGGAAGCGGAAUUCCGGUGUAGCGGUGAAAUGACGUAGAGUAUCGGAAGGAACACCAGUGGCGAAAGCGGCUUCCUGGUCCAGCACCGACGUCAGGCACGAAAGCGUGGGGAGCAAACAGGG
rnacentral:rRNA from 1 species